UUUGGAGAACGAAAGAGGUGACUGAGAAAGGAGUCCAGGCUGUGAGUCACAGGCUAGUCCAGUUCUUAGUCUCGCGCACGCGCGUUACUGAUUUGAACGCCUGAGCAAGUGGGACGGGGAGGGGCGCAUGUACCCCCGGCGGUAGAACGCAAAAGAGCCGGCGUCCGACAACAGAGUGGGACACCGGGCCGAACAGGUGAGAAGAUCGGUGACUUCGGAGGGGGUGUGCCGACCAGCCUUCUCCAGGCUUCUUCACAGAAGAAGGAGAAAACCUCGGAAGCUUUUUCCUCGGGAUUAUUGUUGCCGGCUGCACACGGACACACGGGCAAAAUGAGUGAGAUUAGCAUCUGCCAGGCUCGUGCCACAGUCAUGAUCUAUGAUGACACCGGCAAGAAGUGGAUUCCGGCAGGCACCGGAGCCCAAGCUCUUAGCCGCGUGCAUGUCUAUCACAACACAGCUAACAACACCUUCAGAGUGGUGGGCCGCAAGAUCCAACCUGACCAACAGGUGGUCAUCAACUGCCCCAUCACCAAGGGUCUCAAGUACAAUCAAGCCACACCAAAUUUUCAUCAGUGGAGAGAUGCUCGACAGGUGUGGGGCCUUAACUUCUCGAGCAAAGAGGAGGCCGCCACCUUUGCCGGUGGAAUGUCACAAGCUCUAGAGAUCCUUGCUUCUGCUGUAGAUCCAGGGAUGCCUGGUACCCCCCGCCUUAUGCAGAAUGGGCCAACCCCAGAAGAACUGGAGCAACAAAGAAGGCAACAGCAGCUGGAGCAACAGCGUCUGGAACAGCAGCGCCAGGAGCAACUGCGCCAGGAACAGCUGGAACGAGAACAGCAGGAAAGGGAGAGGGAGAGGAGGGCCUCCAAUGCAGGCCCUCCACAAGCACCUCCUGCACCUGGGGGUCCACCGCCUCCUCCAGGUCCACCUCCACCCCCCGGACCACCCCCUCCUUCUGCUGGACCCCCACCACCCCCUGGGCCGCCUCCUCCUUCUGGUGGACCUCCUCCACCACCGGCGCCCCCACUUCCUUCAGGACCUGCUUUUGGCGCAGAGUCGGGUGGAGGUGCUGGAGGAGGGCUAGCUGCUGCCCUGGCUGGAGCGAAACUACGCAAGGUUCAGAAGCCUGAUGAGGGUGGGGCAGCUCCUGGAGGGGGCAGCUCCAGCCCCGUCUCUGCCCCAAAAGCUGAUCGCACGAGCACCCCCAUACCCUCAGGAGGUAGCAGUGGAGGAGGCGGUGGUGGCGGCGGAGGAUUGAUGGACGAGAUGAGCGCUAUCCUUGCUAGGAGGAGGAAAGCAGCUGAUAAGGGAGACAGGCCGCCUCCAGCCCCGAAGAAGGAGGACGAUUCUGCUAACGAUGAUUCGGAAUCUUUAAAUACCAAAGCUGCCCAAAAUGAACCUGUUCGCAGACCCUGGGAGAAAGCUUCCACAAUGCCAAGAAACUCGAUACCGAAAAACCAGGACCUGUUGAGCUCUCCACAGUCUUCCUCCCCGCUGCCAAGAGUGAAGUCGGUGGUCAGCACCAAUGACACUGGAGCCGGUGCAGAUGACACGGACAUGGAGCGUCUCAAGCAGGACAUUCUGGAGGAAGUGCGGAAGGAGCUGCAGAAGGUCAAGGAGGAGAUCAUUGAAGCUUUUGUGCAGGAGCUAAGAAAAAGAGGCUCGACAUAAAGAGGCUCUCGAGCUCGACAAGGACGCCAAAUAUGAGGACCUGAAGCAGCUCCACCAAGACGCAUCUCUGCGCAGGUUCCCAAAGUGAACGAUUGACAUUUGCCAAGGGUGCGGGCUUUGUCCUGGCAAACUGCUAAUAACCAAGAAAGAAAAAAAAAAUGUACAUUGCUUUAAAAAGCAGAGUUUAGAAGCGCUGUACGGUCUGAAUAUUGCCAUUCCAAAUUCUUCUCUUCAGGGACCUGUGUGUGUGUGCGCGUGUGUGUGUGUGUUUGUGUCCAUUCAAACCGUUUCGUAAAGGGUGGUGCUGAUUGGCCAGAAUUUAAAUGAAAAUUACAAAAAGAAAAAAAUGGCAGUGUAACCAGCAUGGAGUGUAUUGUGGUUCAGUCUGGGCGGCUGACCGGGUCAACUGGCCAUUUAACUGGUUUCUAUUUUGAUAGACAAAUCACACGAUGACCACUAGUGGGCGCCACCUUGUGUCUGAAUGUCGAAUCUAUGCACAAACUGGGCAGUUAAGCAACUUGCAGCAGGGUGACCCCCUUAACUCCCUUGGGGUGUUUAGCCUCUUCUGAUUGAGGCCCCCUAGUCUGGUCAUUGGCGGACCAACAUUCUCUCAGGUCCACCUGCUGGUAGGAUCGCCAGUGUCGUGGCACUGAAACAUCUUUGAGAAGGCUUUGUCUGGGUGUUAAAAAUCUGUUCUCCUCAUAAGUGUGUUUUAGUACAGUGACCCCUAGUGGGCAGUGUUCUCAUUUUAAUCCUCUUUUUUUUUUUUUCUCAGAAAUUAGAUCCCAAUUGCGUAAGCAGAGGCCUAAGACCACUCACUGAGUGAAUGUUAGUCUUGUGGCUUUAACUGGGCAGCUUAAAAUAGAAACCAUAUGGAAAUACAGGUGCAGUUUGUCAUGAUGAUCACUAGUAGGCGAUGUAUGCUUCGUAAAGUCCAAAUAUAUAAACUAACAGUGGUCAGUAGUCAUCAUGGAGGUGGGCAGUUUUCUCACUGCACUCCAUUUUGAGACACCAAACAACAUAAAUUGGCCAGUUAAGCUGGUAGCUGCAUGGUGAACCACUGCACAUUUUUGCACAUCUGGCCACUAGUGGGCACUCUUUUUAUCCUCUUGUUUUAUUUAACUGGAAAUGUAAUUCAAAUCACCUAAGUGGAUAUUUAAAAUGAAGAAAGAAAAAGUAAUUGUAAUAAGAGGCUCGUGUAGGGAGGGGGGCAGUUGCCAUUUUCUGGGUUAUCAUUACUUUAAUCGGGUGCCGUGUUUUUAGAAAGCUUAAUGGGAACAACUGGUCAUGUGACCAGCGGCCAACUGAUUUUACAAAUUCGUGUCAUUUUUUUUUUUUAUAUAUAGUGAAUUUUGGAUUGAAGACCACUAAUGGGUACUAUACGCUUGUCCUCCCUUUUUUCAGCCAGAAAUUUAAAUCCAAAUUAUUUUAAUGGUUAAAACAAUUUAAAAGGUGAGUGCUAAAGAGUUCAUGCAGCCUAACAGUUUCUGGAAUCUUGUGGGUUUAACUGGGUGCCUUUUUCCAAAGGGUCAUCAAGUGGCCAUUUAACUUGUGGUCAGUCGAAUUACAGAUUGUUUGUUUUAGUUGUCUGUUUGGGUAUGACAGCCACUAGAGGGUGCUGUUUCCUUUUCCACUUUUAUUUUUUAUUGUCCCCCUUCUGAGACAUUUGAGUGCAAAUCCUUCUUAGGUUGUAACUUGAAUGGUCUCAGAAACCUUCUUAGAAGUCUUUUAAGUGGACACCAUGUUUCCCAUUAACGGCUUACGUAGUUCUAUUGUAAAGUGCAUUUUGCCCAGGGCCAUUUUAAUCGGGUGCCUUUUUCCUAAUUAUAUAUACUGGUCAUUAACAGUUUAUAAAGUUUUACUGUGAAGUCCAUUUUGCCCUGCUUACCACUGGCGGCUGCUAUUAUCGUUGACCUUGAAGAGUUUGCUACUGCUGACCACAGUAAGCCCCAGGAAUCAUCCACUUUCCUGGAUCAUAGACAUUUUAACUAUAAAUUGGCCGUUAUUCCUCUGACCAGUUGGCUUACAAAUUGUUUUUGAUUUUUUUUUUUGCUAUGCUGACCACUAGGGGUGCCGUUUCCUCUUCCAUUUUUAAAUUUUUUCCUUCCCACUGUAUAGAUUGAGGUCUAAAUCAUUAUUAGAUUGUAACUAAUAGGUAUAGUACGUUUUGCUGGAAUCAUAAGAGAUUUUAACUGCCAUUAAUCCUCUAACCAGCUAAGUGCAUUUAGGCCUGGUCACCUCUAGUGGGCGCUAUUAUCUUUGACCUUUUCUUCCUGUAAAUGAAAUCCAAAUCAUUAUGAGGUUCUUAUUAAUGACCUGUUUAAACCCCAGGAUCACAGAUAUUUAAACUAUGAACUGCCCAUUAAUCCUCUGACCAGUUGGGUUACAAAUCAUUUCCAUCUUAAUAGCCAAUUUAUGUGUGCUGACCACUAGAGGGUGCUGUUUCCUUCUUCAUUUUUAAGAUUCGUUUUCCCAGAACCAUUGGCAUGUUCACUUAGACAAAUUGUAGAACUUGUAAUUAAACCUUUCACCAAUUGGGUUACAAAUUGUUUCUAUUUUAAUAGCUUAUUUAUGUGUGCUGACCACUAGAGGGUGCUGUUUCCUUCUCCGUUUUUAAAAUUUGUUUUUCCAUGACAUAUUAACUUAGACAAAUUGUAUAACUCUCUAUUAAUCCUUUCGCCAAUUGGGUUACAAAUUGUUUCCAUUUUAAAAGCUAAUGUAUGUGUGCUGACCACAAGAGGGUGCUGUUUCCUUUUCCAUUUUUAAAUUUGGUUUUUCCAGGACCAAUGACAUAUUAACUUAGAAUUAAUGACGAGUUAUACAAUUUGUCUAAGUUAAUAUGUCAUUGGUCCUGGAAAAACAAAUUUUAAAAAUGGAAAAGGAAACAGCACCCUCUAGUGGUCAGCGCACACAAAUUAGCUUUUAAAAUGGAAACAAUUUGUAACCCAAUUGGAGAAAGGAUUAAUGACGAGUCUCCAAUUGGGUUACAAAUUGUUUCCAUUUUAAAAGCUAAUUUAUGUGUGCUGACCACUAGAGGGUGCUGUUUCCUUUUCCAUUUUUAAAUUUUUCCCUGUAACUCUUUAAAACAUCAUUUAUUCAAUUAUAACCGAUGACCAGUUUAAGCCCUAGGAGUUGCCCACUUUCAAGGAUCACAGACGUGCUCACUAAGACUUGCCGUUAAUCCUCUCGGGUUACAAAUUGUGUCCAUUUAAAGAGUUGGGUUUAGGUUUUCUAGCCACUAGAGAGAACGCUGUUUCCUUUUCCACUAUUUUUUCUUCUCCCUCGCUCUCUAGAAAUGGAGUCCACAUCGUUAUUAGAUUGGGAUUAAUGACCAGAUUGAACCUUGAAUGUCUUCCGCCGUUUGAAGUGGGCACCAUGUUUGUAAUUUUACAAACUGGCCAUUAAAGUUUUACAAGUUUCUGUUGUCAAGUGCAUUUAGAACUGGUGACCAGCGGUUGGCACCACACCAUUUCCUUUGUCUUUCUUUUCCUUGAAGCCUAAAUCAAAAUGACGUCACGGUGGCCAGUUGGCCGACGGGAGGUGAUGGCCAGGCAGAGGUGUGUGUACUGCUCAGAGGUUUGGGUUUUUGUGAAGCUUCUGUCCAAGUGUGGGCUGCUCACUGGCCAGUGUGGAUUCUCCCAAAUCCAAUUCAGUGUCCUGAGAGGGUCAGAUGAGUGAGGGGAAGGCAUUGAGGGGGCUCCCUGGUAUCCCACCCUCCACGCUUGCACUGUCAUCACUAUGUCCUAUGAAUUGGUCCUUGCUUAUGUUUAUGGUGACAGUUGACAUUCGGCCUCCGCUCACAUUACUGCCAGUUGGCAUACAAUCGUGGGAAUUCAAUAAAUGAACUUGGAGCUGGCAGCCAACAUGACAUCAAAGUUGAGGGAGGCCACUUUCAUUUAACCAACUGUCUGCCGAUAAGUGGAAUAAUGGUGGUCCAAAGUGGGAGUGGCCAACAGCUCAGCCUACCUGUCACUCUUCAAACUUUAUUAGCAAUGAAAGAUUUACACAAACCACCGAGUGCAUCAGGAACAGGCAGACAGACUCGUUUACAUCAUGGCGGGGGGUGGGCUUGUAUGUUUAUUUAUUUUUUUUUAAAUCUUGUUUCAUUAGAAUUAAAAUGGCUUCUCACUCAAUGUCUUGAUCCCCCACAUCUGACCCAUGAGCUCAGCCUGCCCCAAUGGUGUUUGCCUCUGGUCAUUCUGACAGAUUUGUGAAACAAGGAAUUAAUUCGGCUUCUGGAACAUUCACACUUUUUUUGUUUGUUGGGCCGUUUUUGGGGGGGGUUGGGGGUUAUGGAGGGUGGGCAGCUCACUUCUUUGCCUUAUUUCCACAUAGCCAUGGAGUGUUGAGAUUUUACAGUCUCGUUUUGAGCGGGUAUAAACACCAGGGCUGCCAGUUAUGCAAAAAAACAAAAAGGACCUACCCACCCAUCCAGAGGGCAAACGCAAGUCCAGAACCGCAGUGCUUCUCAACUCUGCACUUUUAUUUUUUUGUUUGCAAACUGCCUUCAAUUAUUUUUACAAUAAAUGGGAAUUGAUUGCUGUUUCUAUAUUACUGGAGAUGGUGAAGGUAACUGGGGUUCCAAUUUCUGUGUGUUUUCAUUUUAAUUUUAAUUUUUUUUUGUUAUGAACUUUUCUAUUAGAGGAGUAGAGUUGUUUUUUUUUUUUUUUGUUUUUUUUUGUAUUUUUACACUGAAUUAUUUUAUUGGAAAGAGAAUUUGUUAAACACUGGAUUUCCAAAAUGCCUUUGUAGCCAUAAAUACAGCUGCUUCAUUUGCACCUGAGUAAAUCUAUUCUUCUUUAUUGAUAUUUUAAUAGGAGCUUUUAUCAAUUAAAUGGUUUCUUAUUUAAAUAUAUUGUAAAGAGUGAGGUCACAAAAUCUUUUUUCUCAAGUUUAGCAUUUUGCAAUUUUUUUAAAUAAAGUUUUAAAGAAG